UGGGGAAUUUGGACAUGGGCGAAAGCCUGAUCCAGCCAUGCCGCGUGAGUGAUGAAGGCCUUAGGGUUGUAAAGCUCUUUCGCCAGGGAAGAUAAUGACGGUACCUGGAAAAGAAGCCUCGGCUAACUCCGUG
rnacentral:rRNA from 1 species